CCCAACCAGACAACUUCCCUCACUUUUCUACCAUUCAGAAAAGCUGUCAUUCUUUCUCUCAUCUUCUUUCUCUCUCUCUCACCCAUACCUCACUUUUCUCUACAACUACAAGGACCUUCAUCAAACACUCAUAGAUCAAACUUAAAAAUACCACCCUCGUAAUCCUCUCAUCUUCAUAAACCCAGCCAUACUAAUCGAUUCUCAAUUGAUCAAGGUUUGACCCAUCAACUCGAAAGAUCCAACUUGGUGAGUUUUCCUUCAACGAGUUUCAGGCCGAGUUACAAGGUUUUAGGACGUGGGGAAGCUUUCACACAACUCCCUGGAGUCCCUAGGCUAAGUUUGGAGUGAAGACAACAUUAAGAAUCACUGUUUCAAGGAGUCGAGUUUUAGGCCGAGACUUUCAAGGCUUUUUCAAGCCAUUUUACAUCCAUUUUUGGGCUUUUGAAAGAAACCGGCGACAUUUUUCUAGUUUCCGGCGAAACCAGCCAAUGGACGGCGAGACUCACCUAACGCCAUUACUAUUUAACGAAAUAUUCCUAACGUUCAUUAGACUUCUGUCAGUCACUGACUUGCGCGUGGGCGCACGUGUGGUCGCGGGCUAGCUGGCGGGUGAGGACGCGUUCAGCCUCAGGCUGACGAGUGCUUGACAUGUACAGGGGAGACUUACCCCGAGGACGUUCAAGGAGAAACGAGGCUGAAAAUGCGGUUAUGUGGUUGAGAUUUAUGUAUGGUAAUGGCAUAUUCAUAUACAUUUUACAUGCUCAUCAAUGUUGUACUAUUGUUAAAUGCUAAAAUAAUCCUACAAGAUGCGCAGGUAAGUUCUAGUAAGUUUAUUAUGUUGAUUGGAAUUAUUGAAUUAUCAUGGCUUGCUUAUAUUCAUGUAAUCUACUCAUCAUUGUUGCAUCCCAGUUUUAGUGCUCACCCUGGGCCAGGCCAGUCCUUCACGUGUAUUUUCACUUCUGCACUGCAUGCUCACCUUGGAUCCAAGCAGGUGCCAGUCCUAUCGUACAGGUUGUAUUAGGUGACUCCGACUUGUAGGUGACCACGCAUUGCGCCGGUUUUCACGUGAUCGUAGCACUAGAACGUAUAUUAUGGUUACACCCAGUCCUGUUGUACAGGUCGCAUUAGGUGUUCUGACUCAUGUGCUUGCAUAGAUUGAUGGACCAUUAAGUCAGUCAUACAGGUCGCAUUAGGCGACUCCGACUUGUGUGCUAGCAUAGAUUGUUGAGUAGUUGAUUAUACUUAUGCUACUAUUGUGAUAUCGUGAUUUGGCCUUCUGGAUUUACUACUGUUUUGCAUUUGAUUUCAUACCUAUGUAGUAUGAUUUUUUGGAAACUAUACAUGUUUUACAGCGAGGGGUUAGUAUGUUCAGAAAAUAAAUGAAUUUUAUAAACCUUUAUUUUUGUGCCCAUUCACCCUUCUGUUUUUUGCUCCUCUAGGUCCUAGUCAACUGAAUUAUUUGUGGCAUUCAAGGAAUAUCCGGCGAUUCUGACAUAUCUCUAUAUAACGUAUGAACUUUUCCAGGUUAUGUAUUCAUCACUUUUCUAGUCUUGACUGCAUUACUUUUAUGUUAUGUAUACUCUGAACAUUUGUAUUUUAUGGGUUCUACCCAUUACUGCGCACUCACUUUAUUAGUUAAAUAAGUUCUAGUUCCGAUUUUAGUUUAUUUGCAUUUUUGCAUCAUUCACACUUUUGGUUACAUCACCUUUAGGUGACGACCAACAUGUCUUAACUCCGGUCGGGGUGUGUCAGUUUGGUAUCAGAGCAUAAGUUCAGGCAGUCUUGCAUUCCUCGUAUGUGUUAUAGGUUCUAAUAGUUUUUUUGUUUCUUAUGUCAAAAUCAUGCCACCUCGUAGAGAGCCACGUGUCCCUGCUGAGACUAAUUUUUCCGAUUUUGGACAACAUGGUGAGGCUAUUGCUAGUGCUAUUUAGUCUACACUUCGUUCUCCCCAAAGGAUUACCUUGGAGACAGUAUCCCACCUUCAAAUAAAUAAUUUCUUUGGCAAUAAGGGACCUGAGAAAUGUAAGAUUUGGAUUGACCAUGUUAAGAAGACUUUCCAAGUUAUGCAGCGACAAGGAAACCUUCUGGCGGAGAAAUGGGUUGAGACAACGACUUGGUUCUUUCAUUUGGGAGCAGCAUCAUGGUCUCAGGAGUCAUGCCAGUUGUCUGCUCAAGAGGCCAUGGAUUGGGAUGUCUUCAGAUGCCUAUUUAAGGCUAGGUUCACACCUCCGAAGUACAACGAUCGAAAGAAAGAGGAUUUCAUAGACCUAAAGCAAGGGAAGAUAUUAGUCACAGAGUACCACCGAAAGUUCAUAGACUUAUCCCGCUAUUAUCUCGAGAUCAUUGGGAAUCCCAAGGAGAUGCUCCAUUAUUUUAAGAAGGGGACUUGCAAGCGAUUGCGUUCUAUGGCGACCUCUACUCUCUGCUCUACCUACCAAGAAUUCUUUGAGGUUCUGCUUCGUGUUGAAGAUUCCAAGAAUGCUCCUGAUGAUGACAAUGAUGAAAAGGAUAACAAUAAUAAUACUCAGAGGAAUAAUAACAGGGGGCAAUUGUCUUUUGGCCCUCAAAAGACUCAUAAUUUCAAGAGAAGUGGUAAUAGUUUUGGAUCGUCGAGCGGUGGUUCAAAUUCCAAUACGCCGCAAAGGGGUGGCAAGUCCGUAGGUAGUUCCUGCUUUCAAAAUUAGAGGAACCCUAGCAAUUUUGGU